rnacentral:lncRNA from 1 species
GGGAAAGAAAGCCUAUCACAGUGAAGCUGUCCUUUAGCUAUUCUAGUACUCCAGCAUAUAUGUAUAUAUGUUAGACAUCUACCACUUCAAUGUUCCUGGAUGUCUAUUAUAAGACAAAGGAAUCAAGUGGAAAACUUUAAACUCAGACUGAGGACAAAGUUGAAGACUCCGCUGGAUUUUUUAAGUGCAUCAUUGACAAAUGGAGUUCUCCAUUUCCUGACGCUCGACUUUCACAAAUUUUCUUUCUGGGUCUCGUCAAUAAGAGUUUCAUUAUGACACUAACUCAGAAGCUACUUUAAAGAAGUGUGCCUUAUAAAUGGACCUUCCUCUGGGACUAGAAAGAGACCAGAUUCCAGGGUCCUAAAGCAUAAAUAGAAC